UGGGGAAUCUUGGACAAUGGGGGCAACCCUGAUCCAGCCAUGCCGCGUGAGUGAUGAAGGCCUUAGGGUCGUAAAGCUCUUUCGCCAGGGAUGAUAAUGACAGUACCUGGUAAAGAAACCCCGGCUAACUCCGUGCCAGCAGCCGCGGUAAUACGGAGGGGGUUAGCGUUGUUCGGAAUUACUGGGCGUAAAGCGCGCGUAGGCGGACCAGAAAGUUGGGGGUGAAAUCCCGGGGCUCAACCCCGGAACUGCCUCCAAAACUCCUGGGUCUUGAGUUCGAGAGAGGUGAGUGGAAUUCCGAGUGUAGAGGUGAAAUUCGUAGAUAUUCGGAGGAACACCAGUGGCGAAGGCGGCUCACUGGCUCGAUACUGACGCUGAGGUGCGAAAGUGUGGGGAGCAAACAGGAUUAGAUACCCUGGUAGUCCACACCGUAAACGAUGAAUGCCAGUCGUCGGGUAGCAUGCUAUUCGGUGACACACCUAACGGAUUAAGCAUUCCGCCUGGGGAGUACGGUCGC
rnacentral:rRNA from 1 species